rnacentral:rRNA from 1 species
GAUGAACGCUGGCGGCAUGCCUAACACAUGCAAGUCGGACGGGAAGUGGUGUUUCCCGUGGCGGACGGGUGAGUAACGCGUAAGAACCUGCCCUUGGGAGGGGAACAACAACUGGAAACGGCUGCUAAUACCCCGUAGGCUGAGGAGCACAAGGUGGAAUCUGCCCGAGGAGGGGCUCGCGUCUGAUUCGCUAGUUGUUGAGGCAAUAGCUUACCAAGGCGAUGAUCAGUAGCUGUUCCGAGAGGAUGAUCAGCCACACUGGGACUGAGACACGGCCCAGAGACGUACGGGAGGCAGCAGUGGGGAAUUUUCAGCAAUGGGCGAAAGCCUGACGGAGCAAUGGCGCGGGGAGGUAGAAGGCCCACGGGUGGUGAACAUCUGUUCCCGGAGAAGAAGCAAUGACGGUAUCUGAGGAAUAAGCAUCGGCUAACUCUGUG